rnacentral:lncRNA from 1 species
GACAGAGGGAGAGCUUGAGAACCAAGAUAUCAUAUUUUCUUUAGCUACGUGAAGCUGAUGCAUCGCUAGGGAAGGGUUAAAGAAAAACAAACCCCUCUCAAGAUGUUCCUGGAAAACCCAAGCAGAUAAACACAUGGGAAGCUCAGACAGCCGGCCUUCUGUUAAGUAUGUGAGAGAAAUUUCCCAUCUCGAGAUAAUGGAAGCACCUUCUGUAGACAGGCUGAGCACAGCCCAAUAGCAAUUGCAAGGGAUUUUGAAUCGGAUAAUCAACUCUCAUGCAUGCAAUAAAU